rnacentral:rRNA from 1 species
GAUGAACGCUGGCGGCGUGCCUAAUACAUGCAAGUCGAGCGAACAGACGAGGAGCUUGCUCCUCUGACGUUAGCGGCGGACGGGUGAGUAACACGUGGAUAACCUACCUAUAAGACUGGGAUAACUUCGGGAAACCGGAGCUAAUACCGGAUAAUAUAUUGAACCGCAUGGUUCAAUAGUGAAAGACGGUUUUGCUGUCACUUAUAGAUGGAUCCGCGCCGCAUUAGCUAGUUGGUAAGGUAACGGCUUACCAAGGCGACGUUGCGUAGCCGACCUGAGAGGGUGAUCGGCCACAAUGGAACUGAGACACGGUCCAGACUCCUACGGGAGGCAGCAGUAGGGAAUCUUCCGCAAUGGGCGAAAGCCUGACGGAGCAACGCUGCGUGAGUGAUGAAGGUCUUCGGAUCGUAAAACUCUGUUAUUAGGGAAGAACAAAUGUGUAAGUAACUAUGCACGUCUUGACGGUACCUAAUCAGAAAGCCACGGCUAACUACG